rnacentral:rRNA from 1 species
AGAUUGAACGCUGGCGGCAUGCCUAACACAUGCAAGUCGAACGGGAGUAGCAAUACUCUAGUGGCGGACGGGUGAGGAAUACGUAGGAAUUUGCCCUUAAGUGGGGGAUAACCCGGGGAAACCCGGAUUAAUACCGCAUGACCUCGAAAGAGCAAAGGUGGGGGAUCGCAAGACCUCACGUCUUUUGGAGAAGCCUACGUCGGAUUAGCUAGUUGGUGA